UAUGUGAUCGUCUCUCGCAUAUCAAUAAGCGGAGGAAAAGAAACUAACAAGGAUUCCCCUAGUAACGGCGGGUGAAGCGGGAAGAGCUCAAAUUUGAAAUCUUAAAGGGUUUCCCUUUACGAAUUGUAGUUUAAAGAAGUGUUUUCUGUUGAGGUUUUGGUAAAAGUUCUUUGGAAUAGGACAUCAUAGAGGGUGAGGAAUCCCGUAUUUGACCUUUACUUUCAACUUUGUGAUACACUUUCAAAGAGUCGGAUUGUUUGGGAAUGCAGUCCAAAAUGGGUGGUAAAUUUCAUCUAAAGCUAAAUAUUGGCGAGAGACCGAUAGCGAACAAGUACCGUGAGGGAAAGAUGAAAAGAACUUUGAAAAGAGAGUUAAACAGUACGUGAAAUUGUCAAAAGGGAAGCGUUUGACACCAGUGUUGUUUUUCUGAAAAUCAAUUAAAGAACUGUUUAUGCUAAGUUGUUUAGACUUUAUCAGCUAACUGUUUAGUUUUGAGCUUUUCUUUAAUGCACUUUUCAGUUAACAAGUCAACAUCAAUUUCUUUUGCUGUAAAAAAGCUUGAGGAAGGUGGCUUGAGAUUCGUCUUAAGUGUUUAUAGCCUCUUGCCUAUGCAGUCGGAGAGAUUGAGGUCUGCAGCGUAGAUCCUUCGGGGCUAAAUGCAUUUGUGCUAAGUUAUAGCAUUUUAUAGACAACUUGUUGACUAUGAUUUGUCUUGUAGCUUACUCGCUUAUGUUAUUUUACCUACGCUUAGGAUGUUGAGUAGCGACAUACGCAC
rnacentral:rRNA from 1 species